GGAGAAGUGGCUGAGAGGUUGAAAGCGAUAGAUUGCUAAUCUAUUGUAUAGUAUUUACCGUACCGAGGGUUCGAAUCCCUUCUUCUCCU
rnacentral:tRNA from 1 species